rnacentral:tRNA from 1 species
GUGUCUGUAGCCUAGUUGGUAAAGGAAGCACUCUGGUAAACUGAGGUCAUGAGUUUGAAUCUCACCAGGCACA